GGCUCAGGAUGAACGCUAGCUACAGGCUUAACACAUGCAAGUCGAGGGGAAACGAUAUUGGAAGCUUGCUUCCGAUAGGCGUCGACCGGCGCACGGGUGAGUAACGCGUAUCCAACCUGCCCACCACUUGGGGAUAACCUUGCGAAAGUAAGACUAAUACCCAAUGAUAUCUCUAGAAGACAUCUGAAAGGGAUUAAAGAUUUAUCGGUGAUGGAUGGGGAUGCGUCUGAUUAGCUUGUUGGCGGGGUAACGGCCCACCAAGGCGACGAUCAGUAGGGGUUCUGAGAGGAAGGUCCCCCACAUUGGAACUGAGACACGGUCCAAACUCCUACGGGAGGCAGCAGUGAGGAAUAUUGGUCAAUGGGCGAGAGCCUGAACCAGCCAAGUAGCGUGCAGGAUGACGGCCCUAUGGGUUGUAAACUGCUUUUAUAAGGGAAUAAAGUGAGCCUCGUGAGGCUUUUUGCAUGUACCUUAUGAAUAAGGACCGGCUAAUUCCGUGCCAGCAGCCGCGGUAAUACGGAAGGUCCGGGCGUUAUCCGGAUUUAUUGGGUUUAAAGGGAGCGUAGGCCGGAGAUUAAGCGUGUUGUGAAAUGUAGACGCUCAACGUCUGCACUGCAGCGCGAACUGGUUUCCUUGAGUACGCACAAAGUGGGCGGAAUUCGUGGUGUAGCGGUGAAAUGCUUAGAUAUCACGAAGAACUCCGAUUGCGAAGGCAGCUCACUGGAGCGCAACUGACGCUGAAGCUCGAAAGUGCGGGUAUCGAACAGGAUUAGAUACCCUGGUAGUCCGCACGGUAAACGAUGGAUGCCCGCUGUUGGUCUGAAUAGGUCAGCGGCCAAGCGAAAGCAUUAAGCAUCCCACCUGGGGAGUACGCCGGCAACGGUGAAACUCAA
rnacentral:rRNA from 1 species